GAGUACGGUCGCAAGACUGAAACUCAAAGGAAUUGACGGGGGCCCGCACAAGCGGUGGAGCAUGUGGUUUAAUUCGAAGCAACGCGAAGAACCUUACCAGGUCUUGACAUCUUCUGACAAUUCCAGAGAUGGAACGUUCCCUUCGGGGACAGAAUGACAGGUGGUGCAUGGUUGUCGUCAGCUCGUGUCGUGAGAUGUUGGGUUAAGUCCCGCAACGAGCGCAACCCUUAUUGUCAGUUGCCAUCAUUAAGUUGGGCACUCUGGCGAGACUGCCGGUGACAAACCGGAGGAAGGUGGGGAUGACGUCAAAUCAUCAUGCCCCUUAUGACCUGGGCUACACACGUGCUACAAUGGACGGUACAACGAGUCGCUAACUCGCGAGGGCAAGCUAAUCUCUUAAAGCCGUUCUCAGUUCGGAUUGCAGGCUGCAACUCGCCUGCAUGAAGUCGGAAUCGCUAGUAAUCGCGAAUCAGCAUGUCGCGGUGAAUACGUUCCCGGGCCUUGUACACACCGCCCGUCACACCAUGAGAGUUUGUAACACCCAAAGUCGGUGGGGUAACCUUUUGGAGCCAGCCGCCUAAGGUGGGACAGAUGAUUGGGGUGAAGUCGUAACAAGGUAGCCGUAGGAGAACCUGCGGCUGGAUCACCUCCUUUCUAAGGAA
rnacentral:rRNA from 1 species